rnacentral:tRNA from 1 species
UGGGUUGUAGCUCAGUGGUAGAGCUCUUGCCUAGCACACAAUCGAAUCCCUGGAUUCGAUUUCCAGUACCACAA